GUCGUACGUGGAAGCGCCUUCGGGCGUGAGUAGCGUGGCGGACGGGUGAGUAACGCGUGGAUGACCUGCCCUUUGGCGGGGGAUAACCCGGGGAAACUCGGGCUAAUACCGCAUACGUCGGCACCUUGUGGGGUGUCGGCAAAGCUGGCCUCUGAUGCAAGCUAGCGCCAAAGGAGGGGUCCGCGUCGGAUUAGCUGGUUGGUGGGGUAACGGCUCACCAAGGCGACGAUCCGUAGCUGGUCUUAGCGGAUGAUCAGCCACACUGGGACUGAGACACGGCCCAGACUCCUACGGGAGGCAGCAGUGGGGAAUCUUGGACAAUGGGGGCAACCCUGAUCCAGCCAUGCCGCGUGGGUGAAGAAGGCCUUAGGGUUGUAAAGCCCUUUCAGCAGGGAAGACGCCAUCUGGUUCGAACAGGGCCGGGUGGUGACGUUACCUGCAGAAGAAGCGCCGGCCAACUCCGUGCCAGCAGCCGCGGUAAUACGGAGGGCGCAAGCGUUAAUCGGAAUCACUGGGCGUAAAGGGCGCGCAGGCGGCUCGUCAAGUGGGAUGUGAAAGCCCUGGGCUCAACCUAGG
rnacentral:rRNA from 1 species